rnacentral:lncRNA from 1 species
CUGCUGAAACUGAUGAGAUUGCUGAAAAAACUGAUCCUGAAACUACUACUGCUGAUAGAUAGAAUGCCUGCCACUCUCUCAGCCAACAGUCUCAUCUCAUCCUCUCCCAAACUAAAAGAUGGCACAGUACGGUUCGAUGGAGAUACUCUAACUGAAGGUCCUAUCUCAAGCUCCAAUACAGGAUGAUCAACUGGACUCUGUCUGGGCACAGAUGAAGAUGGACCCUCCCCCUCGGCAUGCUUCUCC